UACGGAGGGUGCAAGCAUUGAUCGGAAUUAUUGGGCGUAAAGGGCGCGUAGGCCGCAGGGCAAGUCAAGUGUGAGAUUCCGGGGCUCAACCCCGGAGCUGCAUUUGAAACUACCUCGCUAGAGUAUAGUUAGAGAAAACGGAAUUCCACGUGUAGCGGUGAAAUGCGUAGAUAUGUGGAAGAACACCGGUGGUGAAGACGGUUUUCUGGGCUAAAACUGACGCUGAGGCGCGAAAGCUAGGGGAGCAAACAGGAUUAGAAA
rnacentral:rRNA from 1 species